AACAGGAGAGUGCUUUCAUUAGAGAGAACCUGGAGACAGGUGCUGCAUGGCUGUCGUCAGCUCGUGUCGUGAGAUGUUGGUUAAGUCCCGCAACGAGCGCAACCCUUUGCCUUUAGUUGCCAGCAGUUCGGCUGGGCACUCUAAAGGGACUGCCGGUGUCAAACCGGAGGAAGGUGGGGAUGACGUCAAGUCCUCAUGGCCUUUAUGGCCAGGGCUACACACGUACUACAAUGGCCGGUACAAAGGGCAGCGACAUUGCGAGAUGGAGCGAAUCCCGAAAAGCCGGUCUCAGUCCGGAUUGGAGUCUGCAACUCGACUCCAUGAAGUUGGAAUCGCUAGUAAUCGUGGAUCAGCAUGCCACGGUGAAUACGUUCCCGGGCCUU
rnacentral:rRNA from 1 species